rnacentral:lncRNA from 1 species
CCCCAUACAAAUGAAACUAAGCGUGUUAGGAGCAGGAGGAGAACCUCGUCCUAACAUGAGCAAAGUUGAAGGUCCGGUUUCCUAAAGAUCGGAUGGGGGGAGAGGCCCUUACAACGGCCCUUAUGUGCCCCCACAGCUUUGUUAGGAACAGGAGGAGAACCUCAUCCUAACAUGAGCAAAGUCGAAGGCCCGAUUUUCUA